rnacentral:lncRNA from 1 species
CGGGGUGGUCAGAAUGGUUCUACCAGUUUGCACAGGAAGACGUUACUUAAGGCUGCUUUCCAAAGCAGUGAAAAAAUAAGUCAGAACAGCUGUGCUGAUGGCUGGGACUCUCUCAGGACAGCUUGGAAGGCCCGACCUGGCAGCUCUCUGGGCCCACCGGAGCUCUCCUGCCUUGUCUUGUACCUGCCUCUCUGUGCUCCAGCCACACUGCCAUCUCUCCGUUUCUCAAAUGCUACAGGAAAUUUAAAGUAUCUUCUCACAAGUAGUUUUAAGAAUGGAUGAUUUACAACAUAACCCUACUAUAGAGGGGCAGGCGAGAAAUGAAGAGGGAAACACGGAUGGAGACAGGAAGACAAGCUGUGUCCCUUUCUUACCUGUCCAUGAAUGACAUGGCUAGAAAACAGCAAGGUUAAUCUGCAUUUAAUGAUCCCAGCAUGCUUUGGGAGGCCGAGGCGGGCGGAUCACUUGAGGUCAGGAGUUCGAGACCAGUCUGGCCAACGUGG